rnacentral:rRNA from 1 species
CACGGCUAACUACGUGCCAGCAGCCGCGGUAAUACGUAGGUGGCAAGCGUUGUCCGGAUUUAUUGGGCGUAAAGCGAGUGCAGGCGGUUCGAUAAGUCUGAUGUGAAAGCCUUCGGCUCAACCGGAGAAUUGCAUCAGAAACUGUUGAACUUGAGUGCAGAAGAGGAGAGUGGAACUCCAUGUGUAGCGGUGGAAUGCGUAGAUAUAUGGAAGAACACCAGUGGCGAAGGCGGCUCUCUGGUCUGUAACUGACGCUGAGGCUCGAAAGCAUGGGUAGCGAACAGGAUUAGAUACCCUGGUAGUCCAUGCCGUAAACGAUGAGUGCUAAGUGUUGGGAGGUUUCCGCCUCUCAGUGCUGCAGCUAACGCAUUAAGCGCUCCGCCUGGGGAGUACGACCGCAAGGUUGAAACUCAAAGGAAUUGACGGGGGCCCGCACAAGCGGUGGAGCAUGUGGUUUAAUUCGAAGCAACGCGAAGAACCUUACCAGGUCUUGACAUCCAUAGCCAGUCUAAGAGAUUAGAUGUUCCCUUCGGGGACUAUGAGACAGGUGGUGCAUGGCUGUCGUCAGCUCGUGUCGUGAGAUGUUGGGUUAAGUCCCGCAACGAGCGCAACCCUUGUCAUUAGUUGCCAGCAUUAAGUUGGGCACUCUAAUGAGACUGCCGGUGACAAACCGGAGGAAGGUGGGGAUGACGUCAAGUCAUCAUGCCCCUUAUGACCUGGGCUACACACGUGCUACAAUGGACGGUACAACGAGAAGCGACCCUGUGAAGGCAAGCGGAUCUCUGAAAGCCGUUCUCAGUUCGGAUUGCAGGCUGCAACUCGCCUGCAUGAAGCUGGAAUCGCUAGUAAUCGCAAAUCAGCACGUUGCGGUGAAUACGUUCCCGGGCCUUGUACACACCGCCCGUCACACCAUGAGAGUCUGUAACGCCCGAAGCCGGCGGGAUAACCGAAAGGAGUCAGCCGUCUAAGGCGGGACAGAUGAUUAGGGUGAAGUCGUAACAAGGUAGCCGUAGGAGAACCUGCGGCUG